rnacentral:rRNA from 1 species
GAUUCUCCGUAGGGUGAAACUGCGGAGGGAUCAUUACUGAGUUACCGCUCAUCAACCCUUUGUGAACAUACCUUAACUGUUGCUUCGGCGGGUAGGCGUCCCCUAAAAAGGACGUCUCCCGGCCCUCUCCCGUCCGCGGGUGGGGCGCCCGCCGGAGGAUAACCAAACUCUGAUUUAACGACGUUUCUUCUGAGUGACACAAGCAAAUAAUCAAAACUUUUAACAACGGAUCUCUUGGUUCUGGCAUCGAUGAAGAACGCAGCGAAAUGCGAUAAGUAAUGUGAAUUGCAGAAUUCAGUGAAUCAUCGAAUCUUUGAACGCACAUUGCGCCCGCCAGCAUUCUGGCGGGCAUGCCUGUUCGAGCGUCAUUUCAACCCUCAAGCUCUGCUUGGUGUUGGGGCUCUACGGUUGACGUAGGCCCUUAAAGGUAGUGGCGGACCCUCUCGGAGCCUCCUUUGCGUAGUAACAUUUCGUCUCGCAUUGGGAUUCGGAGGGACUCUAGCCGUAAAACCCCCAAUUUUACUAAGGUUGACCUCGGAUCAGGUAGGAAUACCCGCUGAAGUUUG